rnacentral:rRNA from 1 species
ACUCCUGCGGGAGGCAGCAGUGGGGAAUAUUGGACAAUGGGCGCAAGCCUGAUCCAGCCAUGCCGCGUGAGUGAUGAAGGCCCUAGGGUUGUAAAGCUCUUUCACCGGUGAAGAUAAUGACGGUAACCGGAGAAGAAGCCCCGGCUAACUUCGUGCCAGCAGCCGCGGUAAUACGAAGGGGGCUAGCGUUGUUCGGAUUUACUGGGCGUAAAGCGCACGUAGGCGGACUAUUAAGUCAGGGGUUAAAUCCCGGGGCUCAACCCCGGAACUGCCUUUGAUACUGGUAGUCUUGAGUUCGAGAGAGGUGAGUGGAAUUCCGAGUGUAGAGGUGAAAUUCGUAGAUAUUCGGAGGAACACCAGUGGCGAAGGCGGCUCACUGGCUCGAUACUGACGCUGAGGUGCGAAAGCGUGGGGAGCAAACAGGAUUAGAAACCCGUGUAGUCCCAUG